UCUAUCAGCUCUCAUCUUUUCAAUGCUAUCAUAUCUGCUGAAAAUAUCUUUCAAUAUAAAUUUGCAGAUUGAUCACGAUUUGCUAUCAUAUAUGCUACUAAAUUUUAAAAACUUACUUAUGACGUGGACUAGAAUAAAACAAGAAAUAUCUUUAGCCAAGAAAACUAAAUCCGUAUAUGUAGAAGUCAUAUAUGGUCGUUUGUUAUCUUUUGGAGAUGUUACUCAUGAGACUAUUCCUUUAGAUAUAGUAAUAAAAGAUCACAAUAGUAUAUUAAUAUAUAAUAUUAUUUGAUCUUCCUUUAAUCUAAUUAUUUUAGGAUUAUUGUAAUUAAAAAUAUAUAAUUCUUAAAUAGAUUGGAUUUCUUGUAACCUUAAGUUUUUUUAUAAUUUAAUCUAAAAUUUUGAUAGUGAAAUAGAAAUAGAUAAGCCUAAUACAUCCAAAUUCUUAUUAGUAGGUACAAGAGCUUCCAUAUAUGCCACAAAAGAAGGAUCAUGUUUUUUUUAUGUAAGCCACACC
rnacentral:lncRNA from 1 species